AGUGUCCAUGACAGUGAAUCCAUUUUGGUUGUGUUGGAUUUGAGGUGGCAAAGAAAUAAGGAACUGGCAUGUGACUGUGGGAAACUGGAGCCACAAGACAGGAGUUCAGGUGAAAAGACAGGACUAGAGUUGGAUGCUGAAACUUGCAGUCACACAAGGACUUGAACCUAGAGCUUUUCUAAAGUCCGUACUCUUUCCGGUACCCUGAGCCAGGGGAGCCAGCGGGCAGAAAUGAUGUGUGAGAUACCCUCUCUCCCUUCACUUCCAUGUGAUCUGUUACUCAUUUUGUCAAGACAUCCUGGGUCCCAGAGACCACUCUUAUUCCCAGGUGUGUGACCUCCUCCUACAGAGUACAGUGGGAAGGACACUGUCUUCAGGUGCCAGGUGCUACACAAGAUACUGGCUAUAGCAGCGAACAGGACAGCCCGUCUCAUCCUCAUGGAGGUCACAGGACAAUGAGAAGAAAGACUUUGAACAAGUAAUUACAGGGUGUUGGGUGUUAUGAAAGAAAAGCAUGGUGGUGUAUAAUGAGGUCAUCUAAUUUAGUCUGGGGUGACAAGGAAUGCCUACUAAAGAAGGUAUCGUUGAAGACAUACCUGGGGAUUAGUGGUAGUGAAAACAGAAGCUCCAGAAAGGCAGGGACCAUGGCUGACAUGUUUACCAUGCCAGUGUCUGGUGUGAAAGAGGCACCAAUUCCUUUGGUUGAAAGGAUGAAGUAAUCUAGCUGAAUAAAGGGUGUGUGCAUGCAUGCAGGUGUGUUUGUAGUUAACCUUCCUUUAGCUCAGCUUAGGAAACAGCUUUUGUAAAACUGCGUAACCAGUAGUAGUUACUGAGAGAGGAAUAUGAAUGAGAUACACACCAUUAAAGACAACUUACUAACAGAACAA
rnacentral:lncRNA from 1 species